rnacentral:lncRNA from 1 species
GAGCACAAUUCCUCUCAUGCUCAUAGGGCCAGUCUGACACUCCUCCCUGGUACUUCCCAUCUUGUGCUGAAGCAUAGGCCCCAGUAAAAUCUGCAGAUGAUUUUAUUACCUAGUCAUCAUUUCUGUCUUGGAUAGAAUGAGCUGAGCUGGUUGCAUCAAGAGUUGGUGACACCAAGGGACGCUAGCCUAGGGAACAUCUCUUUGUCAACUCCAGACCUCCUAUUGGAGCUCCUGCCCCCAAAGGAAUACUCUUGAGAGCUCACACAGUUCCAUUGGAGGUUUUCAGCUACUGCAGAGGAGGAGACCAGACUCUUUCCACUGCAGGCUAAUCCUCAAGUCCUCAAAGAGAGUGAGAGUGCUUACCUUGGCUCCCUUCUUGUUAGGCUGAGACAAAGCUGACCUGCCCUAGGGCACUAAACCCAUGUGACCCUGCUCCCUCUCAGCUCCUGGGAAGGACUGCAUCAAGAGAAGAGCUCCUGUCUUACCUGCACCUGUGGCUUGGGCCCUUCAUGCUUCAUAACAGAGCCCAUGGGGACCCUGAAGGGGAAGAUGAAGGCCUUUCAUCUCAUAGCCUCAGGCAGAGCAGCACAAAUUGGCAGUCCAGACUUCCUCACCAUCCCCAGCACCUGCACAAUGGAGUCCCCAACUCCUAAGUGUGUGUACCUUGCUUUCACCUCGUCUCAGGUCCCUCUCACCAUGGAUCCUGUGGCCCCUGCUUUUUCACAUCCUGCAAAUCAGUGCAUCUACCAUCUCUUCCAGCCCAACAGCCAACACAUCUUCAGGCUUCAUUCCUCAGUCAGUAUCAUCCCCCAUGGAAUCUGCACUGUCUUAACAGUCUCUAUUUUUGGGGCUUCCUCCUCUUCUGCCCAGGGCCUUCAGAUGCCUGCCAGAGUCAGCAUAGUGUCAGCAAAGACAUCUUCAGCAAGCCUGUGACUUCCUGUAGGUCCAGACACUUCUCUGUCCCUGUUUGAGGCUCCAGUAGGCAGCAGCAUGAACUCCCACCUUUUACAGCUCAUUCCUGUUUGGGGAUCUGGCAGCUCCAACUUUAGCCCUGACUUCAAAUUCUGCUCCAGGGCAGCCAGGCAUGCACAGCAAAUCACACUCAGCUUGGGGACUCCUUACACACAAAUUCCACCUUGGGUACCACCCAUGCCAGCACUCAGCCACCCUUCACUGCCACACCAACUGUGUCCCCCUGGUACCUCUGCUGCCGCUGGCAUUACAGCUCCCGCAUACACUACGAUCCAAGCUCUGACCAAUAUUUGGACAUAUUAGCCCAGUCCUCCUGAGGUUCCAUAGCACCCCUGAGUUUCCAGUUUGUUUCAUCAGGACUCAGGGGCUUCAUGUAGAGAGAGGCUGACCCUGAUCUAGCUUUACCUUUGGAUCCCUGAGCAUCACAGCAGACAGGAGAGCAGCCCUGGACACCAUACAAUGCUCUGAGGGAAUCUUAGGCCUCAACCCUUGGAGGCCCCAUAGCCUGAGAUCUUCCAUGGUGCCCAGGGGACCCAACACUCUGAAUAACCCUGUUUUCAGCUAUGAUUGCUUCUACUUUUACCCCAUCUCUGGGGUCAAAACAGGCAGAAAACCCAAAUUUCAGCACCCAGUUUCACUGCAGCAAGGGUGCCUCCAGGGCACAUCUGCUGAAUCAAUAGGAGAUUCCAUGGGAUGAGUGAGCUGGUCUAUUUCAUAUUUACUUGCACAGGAGUAUUACAUAUGUUCUUUGUGCCACUCUGAGUACAAGACAAGAAGGAGGAAAAAUACAGCAGUUCCUCCCUUUACCACAGCUUUGCUUUCAUUGGCUUCAGUUACCUGUGAUCAGCAGAUAUCCAAAGAUAUUACUUAUCUUGCUCUCAGAGACAAAGACUAUAUUCAUAUGAAUUUUAUUACAGUGCAUUGUGAUAACUCUUUAAUUUCACUAUUAGGUAUUGUUGUUAAUUUCUUCCUGUGCCUGAUUUAGAAAUUGAGCUUUAUCAUAAGUGUGCAUUGUGUAGGAUAAAGCCAUGUAUCUAGGACCCAGUACUAUUCAUGAUUUCAGUUGUCCACUGGGGGGUCUGUGAACAUGUUCAUGCAGAGAAGGGAGUCUUCUGCAUGAACACUUGGGGCCCAUAUAUUCUGUAUUUGAAAUGUUGCUGUGCAUGUUUUAUCUUGGAGUGGAGUUGAUGGGGAAAACAAAACAAAAUAAAAUAAAAACAGAACCAAGCUGUCCAAAACGUAGUGGCACCUCUUCCUCCACAGGAAAUCUUAUUUAAGCUUCUUCAGAAAUCUUCACCAUAAUUGAUUUUAGGAUUAUCAGCAAAAGAAUCUCUACAAUAAGGUUCAAUGUAGUUAAAUUUCCUAUUUCCUGUUGCUCUGUCUUACUCAGCCACUGGCCUGAAAGAGAUCAGCACUCCAAGUGUGGAAUGCCCCUUUACCAGUUUUUCACGAACAUUUAUCCCGGAUAGUACUUUCUAGAAGUGUAUUUGCAAAUGCAAAGUGUGAUUAAAAAAAAAAAAGAUCCUUUAACAAGGCCUCUGGCCUUGAGCCAGAGCUUCACAGAGAUGUUUACAUUUCAAAGAGAAGAGAAGAUGUUACUAAUGGGACUCCAAGGUAAUAGCAGGCAGAAGAAAGGGGAGGAGAAGUUCUCCCCUUCUCAGGAGCUCUCCUUGAAGGGUUAAUUUGCCUAGUGAAAGAAAAAGCUGCAAAUCAAAACCACCCUAAGAUACCAUCUCACUCCAGUAAGAUUGGGAGCCAUUAUGAAAUCAAACAACAACAAGUGCUGGCGAGGAUGUGGGGAAAAGGGUACUCUUGUACAUUGCUGGUGGGACUGCAAACUGGUGCAGCCAAUUUGGAAAGCAGUAUGGAGAUUCCUGGGAAAGCUGGGAAUGGAACCACCAUUUGACCCAGAAAGCUGGGAAUGGAACCACCAUUUGACCCAGCUAUUGCCCUUCUCGGACUAUUCCCUGAAGACCUUAAAAGAGCGUACUACAGGGAUACUGCCACAUCCAUGUUCAGAGCAGCACAAUUCACAAUUGCUAGACUGUGGAACCAACCCAGAUGCCCUUCAAUAGAUGAAUGGAUAAAAAAAUGUGGCAUUUGUACACCAUGGAGUAUUACGCAGCACUAAAAAAUGACAAAAUCAUGGAAUUUGCAGGGAAAUGGAUGGCACUAGAGCAGAUUAUGCUUAGUGAAGCUAGCCAAUCCCUAAAAAACAAAUACCAAAUGUCUUCUUUGAUAUAAUGAGAGCAACUAAGAACAGAGCAGGGAGGAAGAGCAGGAAGAAAAGAUUAACAUUAAACAGAUACAUGAGGUGGGAUGGAAAGGGAGAGAAAAGGGAAAUUGCAUGGUAAUGGAGGGAGACCCUCAUUGUUAUACAAAAUUACAUAUAAGAGGUUGUGAGGGGAAUGGGAAAAUAAACAAGGAGAGAAAUGAAUUACAG